rnacentral:lncRNA from 1 species
AGAACGGUCGCCGCGUCGCCUCAGCACGGACCUCCAGGGAGCUCCUCAGCAAGAUCCUGCCAGGGCGCCCCUCAGCGCGAUUCUGCCGGGGUGCCUCUCAGCGUGGUCCUCCCCGGGGCUCCUCAGCACGAUUCUCCCGGUGCGCCCCUCAGCGCGGUCCUCCUCGACUCUCCUCAGCGCGGCCCUCCCCAUCUCUCUGGGAGGGUUUGAACACGGUCAGCACGGACCUGGGCGGACGGCGCGGGACGGGUGAUCACUGGCGUUGCUGAGGCUUGGAAGUCCAAGGUCAAGGCACUGGCAGAUUCAGCAUCUGGAGAGGACUCGCUUUCUGGUUCAUGAACAGUUGUCUUCUUGUGUCCUCAUAUGACGGAAGAAAAAAAGGAGCUCACUGAGGUCUCUUUUACAAGGGCACUAAUCCAUUCCAUGAGGUCUCCACCCUCAUGACCUAACCACUUCCCAAAGGCCUCACCUCCUAAUACCAACAUUGGGGGUUAGGAUUUCAACAUAUACAUUUUGAGGAAACACACACAUUCAGUCUAUAGCAAUUAAUGAUAGAAUAAAAGACACAGAAAAGCA